GUGAUAAACUUGACCAGCGCGCGCAUUGAUCUAGGAUACGCUUUAUCUUGGAAGUUACAGAAACUUCCAAAGAGCAGCCAGGGGACCGAGGAGCCCCGAGCUGGGCUCUCCGUUGCGCCUGGUAUACACAGUGCUGCCUCCGCUUCUCGGAGUUUAUGAUGUUUAUGAAGAUCCCCAACAGCUGGCUUCAAACCCAGCCCCUCCGAGAACCGUUUCCAGGACUCUGAAGCCCGCAUUUCAGCUUCAGGAACGGCGAGACAGCUGGCUGUCCGUGUCGGUUUGGGUGGAAUCGGUGUAGAGGUGGUGGUACCCAAACCAGCUCAGUGCCGGUGAUUUCCAACCAGCAUCUUUUGAAGGCACACUGUGUGCAUCGCCAUCAAGCGCUGAGCAACAGCAAGCUGCGGAUGCUCGUCGGCGAGAGCUGGAGGAGGAUCAGCUCUAAGUUGUAAUCUCAGGGUGGACAUUGACAUCAUCCUCUUGGACGGGAGCAGGUAGAGGAGAUGCCUGCUUUCAUUCCUCUUGGACAAUGCUUAGGGGUGCAAUUGCUGGCCAUAUGGGUUUGACUUAUUCUUUCCCUAAGUCAAUCUUGGCCAGUGAUAUUGGGGCAGAGCAGAGAUAGCAGCAGUAGGAUUGUGUGAGCCGCCAGGCCUGAAGCCCGCAGCAUUUUACCUGUGCAACGCGAAAGGCUGAGCCUGGAUGGAGAAGAGAAGGAGGCGCCGCUCUGCGGAAUGCUCUCCGCGGCGCAUGCUCGGCGAGAUUUCGUGCCGGAGAACACAAACUACUCCGUUAAUUAAAUAGCAAAGGUCGAUGGAGCACCAUGGACAUUCUCUGAAGGCUGCUAGCCAGGAGACUCAAGAAGAAAUUGUUAAAAAGGAGAACUAUCCAAACAUUGUCCUCUCCCUUUGCAGCCUCAACAGGAAAGAAAACUCAUAGAUGAGUCAGAAAUGCUCAGUGGAUAAUGGACCUCUUCCCUCACUCCACGUGCUCGGGUUGCGGCAACUUCAGGGGGCCGGCCUAUGUGUGGGCGAAUGAGGAGGAGGAGUCUAACCAGGACCAGAAGGUAGAGACCUCGAGAAGCCAAGCACUGUGAAAAACUAGGUCCCCGUCACUAUGCUCAUGACAAAGCCACUUCGCAGGGGAAAGGAGGAUGUGGAUGAUGUUGGAUGUUCUUCUUCCCCAAUCAGAAAGGUUCACAGCAGCUAAAGAGGAGGACACUGGUGGGAAAGGUUGAUGCUACUCUUACACUUUAAUGAGCUAUGUACAUGCCCACUAAGCUAAGGCCUUUGAAGAUAAAGGGAACGUUGGAUGUUCUUUUGUUUUGCAACACCCAUGUAAUGCCCAGGACAUCCUAAGUGGACAGUGGAUGUAAGAUGAACAACAGGUUAUAUGAGUUAUUACCAAUACACCUACCUGCUUGAAAUACAUGUUGGAAAGUGUUAAGAAAAAUGACAUUGUCUUGUUUCUUUAAAAAAUAUUGAAAUAGACAUAACACUGUUUAAUCCGAAAAAGAAGAUGGCAAUAAAUAUAGAAACAAGUCAUCGGGAGGAACAACCACGUGUAUUAAGAAGAUAUGGGGAUCCCUUUGCCUCAUCUUAUGGAAAUACAUUUGAAAUCUUGACUACCAAGCAUAAUACUCUAGAAAAUAUCUAUAAUGCAACAAAAGAGGCUAAGAAACUUAUCAAAAGCUAUCUGAAGGAAACAUCAACAUCACUUUAUUUCAGAAGUAAGUUUUAUGAACUAUCUACGGAAUGCAAUUUAAAUUUUUUGAAAGCAUAAGGAAUGUGAACGUUUCUAAGGGGUUUUUACAAAUACAGAACAUUAGUACCAAACUUAAUAAAGGCAACACAAUAAAAUGAAACUACAGAUGGAUUUCUCUAACAGAUAUUGAUGCAAAAUCCCUAAAAUGUGUUAGCAGAUAGAAUUCAGCAGCUUAUUAAAAGAUUGAGAGAUACUAUUCAGGAGUAAUCCAUUGAAAAAAUUCAAAAUUUCAGUGUGUUUUUCCAUAUUAAUUACAGGUCAAGGCAGAGAAGCAUUAUGUUUGACGAUGUUGACAAGGUGCUUGAAAAAAGCCAGUAUCAUUCUUGAAAAACAAGUUUGAUAAAUAUGGAUGCAUUGAUAUUUAAUUAGCAACAUGGCAAUAGUGAAAUACAAAAAUGUUCCUAUUAAGAAAUAGAACAAGGAGUUCCUGUUGUGGUGCAGUGGAAACAAAUCCAACUAGGAACCAUGAGGUUGAGGAGGGUUCGAUCCCUGGCCUCGCUCAGUGGGUUAAGGAUCCUGCAUUGCCCUGAGCUAUGGUGUAGGUCAUGGAUUCAGCCCAGAUCUGGCAUGGCUGUGGCCAUGGCAUAGGCUGGUGGCUGUAGCUAUGAUUGGACCCCUAGCCUGGGAACCCCCAUAUGCUGAAGAUGUGGGCCUAAAAAGCAACAAAAAAAA
rnacentral:lncRNA from 9 species